AGCUCACUGGUCUAGUGAUUUUGCGCGGAAAAUAUAACGGGGCUAAAGUAAGUACCGAAGCUGUAGACUUGCGCACAACUUAGAUUAUUUAAGUUUAGAAUAUGAGAAACUAAGUUAUGUUUAGUUAUAUUUUUACUGAUUUUUAUAGAGUAAAGAUAGAAAUAAAACUUAGUAAAAUCAGUAAAAAUAUUCUUAGGCUAAAGUUAAGUAGUUUAAGUUGUGUGCAAGUGGUAGGAGAGCGUUCUAUUUGCGUCGAAGGUAUACCGGUAAGGAGUGCUGGAGCGAAUAGAAGUGAGCAUGCAGGCAUGAGUAGCGAUAAUUAAUGUGAGAAUCAUUAACGCCGUAAACCCAAGGUUUCCUACGCGAUGCUCGUCAUCGUAGGGUUAGUCGGGUCCUAAGUCGAGUCCGAAAGGGGUAGACGAUGGCAAAUUGGUUAAUAUUCCAAUACCAACAUUAGUGUGCGAUGGAAGGACGCUUAGGGCUAAGGGGGCUAGCGGAUGGAAGUGCUAGUCUAAGGUCGUAGGAGGUUAUACAGGCAAAUCCGUAUAACAAUACUCCGAGAACUGAAAGGCUUUUUGAAGUCUUCGGAUGGAUAGAAGAACCCCUGAUGCCGUCGAGCCAAGAAAAGUUUCUAAGUUUAGCUAAUGUUGCCCGUACCGUAAACCGACACAGGUGGGUGGGAUGAGUAUUCUAAGGCGCGUGGAAGAACUCUCUUUAAGGAACUCUGCAAAAUAGCACCGUAUCUUCGGUAUAAGGUGUGGUUAGCUUUGUAUUAGGAUUUACUCCGAAAGCAAGGAAACUUACAACAAAGAGUCCCUCCCGACUGUUUACCAAAAACACAGCACUCUGCUAACUCGUAAGAGGAUGUAUAGGGUGUGACGCCUGCCCGGUGCUCGAAGGUUAAUUGAUGGGGUUAGCAUUAGCGAAGCUCUUGAUCGAAGCCCGAGUAAACGGCGGCCGUAACUAUAACGGUCCUAAGGUAGCGAAAUUCCUUGUCGGUUAAAUACCGACCUGCAUGAAUGGCGUAACGAGAUGGGAGCUGUCUCAAAGAGGGAUCCAGUGAAAUUGUAGUGGAGGUGAAAAUUCCUCCUACCCGCGGCAAGACGGAAAGACCCCGUGGACCUUUACUACAGCUUGACACUGCUACUUGGAUAAGAAUGUGCAGGAUAGGUGGGAGGCUUUGAGUAUAUGACGCCAGUUGUAUAUGAGCCAUUGUUGAGAUACCACUCUUUCUUAUUUGGGUAGCUAACCAGCUUGAGUUAUCCUCAAGUGGGACAAUGUCUGGUGGGUAGUUUGACUGGGGCGGUCGCCUCCCAAAUAAUAACGGAGGCUUACAAAGGUUGGCUCAGAACGGUUGGAAAUCGUUCGUAGAGUAUAAAGGUAUAAGCCAGCUUAACUGCAAGACAUACAAGUCAAGCAGAGACGAAAGUCGGUCUUAGUGAUCCGGUGGUUCUGUGUGGAAGGGCCAUCGCUCAAAGGAUAAAAGGUACCCCGGGGAUAACAGGCUGAUCUCCCCCAAGAGCUCACAUCGACGGGGAGGUUUGGCACCUCGAUGUCGGCUCAUCGCAUCCUGGGGCUGGAGCAGGUCCCAAGGGUAUGGCUGUUCGCCAUUUAAAGCGGUACGCGAGCUGGGUUCAGAACGUCGUGAGACAGUUCGGUCCCUAUCUGCCGUGGGCGUAAGAAGAUUGAAGAGAUUUGACCCUAGUACGAGAGGACCGGGUUGAACAAACCACUGGUGUAGCUGUUGUUCUGCCAAGAGCAUCGCAGCGUAGCUAAGUUUGGAAAGGAUAAACGCUGAAAGCAUCUAAGCGUGAAGCCAACUCUAAGAUGAAUCUUCUCUAAGCUCUCUAGAAGACUACUAGUUUGAUAGGCUGGGUGUGUAAUGGAUGAAAGUCCUUUAGCUGACCAGUACUAAUAGAGCGUUUGGCUUAUCUUUAAUAAAGCAU
rnacentral:rRNA from 1 species